GGCAAAGCUUUCCCAGCUGUGUCUACAGGCAGAAGAGGCUGGUUUGCUUUCUCCACCAGCUUCCUGCACCUCCCUGGCCAGGUAGGAACGAUGCAGUCUGCAAGGUGAUUCAGCACAGGAUCAGUGAGAUGGUUGUAGUGAGAUGGGGCACUACCACAGACAAGGGCCAGACAGGGAUAACCACUGCAUGGGUGCUUAGAGUGAAAAAUUCAGAAAUUCUACCUGAGUUCAGGAACUACUACUGCCUGAAUUUAGGAACUUCAGAAAUGUGCCUCAUUUUGAAGAGUGAUGAUAAGUCAAGCAGGAUUUGCAUAGACACCACGAGAGGAUCCCCUGGCACUUUACAAGCAGCACAGACAUAAUAAAACAACAAAGUAAGGCACACAAACACCUACAGCGAAACAUCAACCAUCAAAUUCCAGUGCCCAGAUACAUCUCACCAAUAGUCUCCAACUUAAACAAAUGAAACUGGACUAGUCCUACAGAAGCAAACAUUGCUUUAACUUCAUAACCAAAGCAGGAGGAAAUAGGGAGAUAACGGCAAACCUCUUCUGCUGCAAUCAGCUGUAAAGCCGUGCAGACAGUGGCUUCACAGCUGUUGGCUAUAAUGCAAAUACCUCCUUGCUCCCAGCAGACAGCAGCUUCGGUGCAGUGCUUCACCCAAGAAGGACCACCAGAAGAAGGGAAUUCAGCAAUCGUUACCAAGAAGCACAGCUCAAGACUUGAGAUGAGGCUACCACUGGUGUUCCUCCACCAUCCUGAUGAAGCCUGUCCCUCUUUCUGACAUUAGAAGGGCUGCUGUGAAAAUGACAGCCCGGAUCACACAAGAUCAC
ensembl:lncRNA